AGUGAACGCUGGCGGUAGGCCUAACACAUGCAAGUCGAACAGCAGCACAGUAAGAGCUUGCUCUUACGGGUGGCGAGUGGCGGACGGGUGAGGAAUACAUCGGAAUCUACUUUUUCGUGGGGGAUAACGUAGGGAAACUUACGCUAAUACCGCAUACGACCUACGGGUGAAAGCAGGGGAUCUUCGGACCUUGCGCGAUUGAAUGAGCCGAUGUCGGAUUAGCUAGUUGGCGGGGUAAAGGCCCACCAAGGCGACGAUCCGUAGCUGGUCUGAGAGGAUGAUCAGCCACACUGGAACUGAGACACGGUCCAGACUCCUACGGGAGGCAGCAGUGGGGAAUAUUGGACAAUGGGCGCAAGCCUGAUCCAGCCAUACCGCGUGGGUGAAGAAGGCCUUCGGGUUGUAAAGCCCUUUUGUUUGGAAAGAAAAGCAGCAGGUUAAUACCCCGCUGUUCUGACGGUACCCAAAGAAUAAGCACCGGCUAACUUCGUG
rnacentral:rRNA from 1 species